UCUUCAUUUUUCCACACUCUCUCACCGUUUAGAGAGGCGAGAGAGUGUGUGAAAUGAAGAGA
rfam:Pristionchus pacificus strain PS312 contig7654, whole genome shotgun sequence.